GACGAACGCUGGCUGCGUGCUUAACACAUGCAAGUCGAACGGUAAGGCCCUUCGGGGUACACGAGUGGCGAACGGGUGAGUAACACGUGGGUGAUCUGCCCUGCACUUCGGGAUAAGCCUGGGAAACUGGGUCUAAUAACGGAUAGGACCACUGCCUGCAUGGGUGGUGGUGGAAAGCUUUUUGCGGUGUGGGAUGGGCCCGCGGCCUAUCAGCUUGUUGGUGGGGUGAUGGCCUACCAAGGCGACGACGGGUAGCCGGCCUGAGAGGGUGACCGGCCACACUGGGACUGAGAUACGGCCCAGACUCCUACGGGAGGCAGCAGUGGGGAAUAUUGCACAAUGGGCGCAAGCCUGAUGCAGCGACGCCGCGUGAGGGAUGACGGCCUUCGGGUUGUAAACCUCUUUCAGCACCGACGAAGCGCAAGUGACGGUAGGUGCAGAAGAAGGACCGGCCAACUACGUGCCAGCCGCCGCAGUAA
rnacentral:rRNA from 1 species